rnacentral:rRNA from 1 species
CAGACUAGAGUGCGGUAGGGGAGAUUGGAAUUCUGGUGUAGCGGUGGAAUGCGCAGAUAUCAGGAGGAACACCAAUGGCGAAGGCAGAUCUCUGGGCCGUAACUGACGCUGAGGAGCGAAAGCAUGGGGAGCGAACAGGAUUAGAUACCCUGGUAGUCCAUGCCGUAAACGUUGGGAACUAGAUGUGGGGACCAUUCCACGGUCUCCGUGUCGCAGCUAACGCAUUAAGUUCCCCGCCUGGGGAGUACGGCCGCAAGGCUAAAACUCAAAGGAAUUGACGGGGGCCCGCACAAGCGGCGGAGCAUGCGGAUUAAUUCGAUGCAACGCGAAGAACCUUACCAAGGCUUGACAUAUAGAGGAAACGGCUGGAAACAGUCGCCCCGCAAGGUCUCUAUACAGGUGGUGCAUGGUUGUCGUCAGCUCGUGUCGUGAGAUGUUGGGUUAAGUCCCGCAACGAGCGCAACCCUCGUCCUAUGUUGCCAGCACGUAAUGGUGGGAACUCAUGGGAUACUGCCGGGGUCAACUCGGAGGAAGGUGGGGAUGACGUCAAAUCAUCAUGCCCCUUAUGUCUUGGGCUUCACGCAUGCUACAAUGGCCGGUACAAAGGGCUGCAAUACCGCAAGGUGGAGCGAAUCCCAAAAAGCCGGUCUCAGUUCGGAUUGAGGUCUGCAACUCGACCUCAUGAAGUCGGAGUCGCUAGUAAUCGCAGAUCAGCAACGSUGCGGUGAAUACGUUCCCGGGCCUUGUACACACCGCCCGU